GACGAACGCUGGCGGCGUGCUUAACACAUGCAAGUCGAGCGGUAAGGCCCUUUCGGGGGUACACGAGCGGCGAACGGGUGAGUAACACGUGGGUGACCUGCCCUUACGCUCUGGGAUAAGCCUGGGAAACUGGGUCUAAUACCGGAUAUGACUCCAUAACGCAUGUUGUGGGGUGGAAAGCCUUGUGCGGCUAGGGAUGGGCCCGCGGCCUAUCAGCUUGUUGGUGGGGUGAUGGCCUACCAAGGCGACGACGGGUAGCCGGCCUGAGAGGGCGACCGGCCACACUGGGACUGAGACACGGCCCAGACUCCUACGGGAGGCAGCAGUGGGGAAUCUUGCGCAAUGGGCGAAAGCCUGACGCAGCGACGCCGCGUGGGGA
rnacentral:rRNA from 1 species